GGGGCUGUAGUCUAGUUUGGUUAGGAUUCUGCGUUUGGGACGCUGCGACAGGGGUUCAAAUCCUCUCGGCCCCA
rnacentral:tRNA from 1 species